GGGAAUGUGGCUUAGUGGUAGAGCGCUUGCCUAGCAUGCAUGAGCCCUGGGUUUGAUUCCUCAGCACCA
rnacentral:tRNA from 1 species